rnacentral:rRNA from 1 species
UACGUAGGGCGCAAGCGUUUGUCCGGAAUUAUUGGGGCGUAAAAGAGCUCGUAGGCGGCUUGUCGCGUCGGUUGUGAAAGCCCGGGGCUUAACCCCCGGGUCUGCAGUCGAUACGGGCAGGCUAGAGUUCGGUAGGGGGAGAUCGGAAUUCCUGGUGUAGCGGUGAAAUGCGCAGAUAUCAGGAGGAACACCGGUGGCGAAGGCGGAUCUCUGGGGCCGAUACUGACGCUGAGGAGCGAAAGCUAGGGGGAGCAAACGGG